rnacentral:lncRNA from 1 species
CAGUACUCCUAAAGUGCAAAAAAGGGGAUUGAGAGAGCCACAGGCGGAGCGAUCGUAAUGACAAGAAGAGGUGGCGUCUUUAGCAUUGUCAGGAGCGAUGGGGAUGAGAGAGGUCCUAUGGACGGGCUGGGUGUGUACCGGAUAGGGAUCGACAAUGGAGAUGCAUGCCAAGAAGAGGUGUGCAUGGGCUCAGCAAUUGGGGCGGUUGGUAAAAGCAUUGGCGAGCACGGGGAGGACGGGGAGAGGGAGAAGGGGGCAACUGCGCUUGUGCGGAGGCUGUGUUCGUGCCGAGCGAUGGCAGGGUGGAGUGGGGCUGGAGUUGUAAGAAGUGUAU